rnacentral:rRNA from 1 species
AUGACCCUCAGCGCCUGCCUGAGCUGGCCCCUGCUUUGGCCGAAGAGCCAGAUUCGUUUGGGGGCGGGGGACACCACCCCAAAGACAACACCGCCAGUCAUGCCGGUGCCAAGUCGGCCCCAUGGCAAGACCGCCGUAACGGUGCCGGACAUCCCUAUGCCACUGGAUCCAAACAUGCAUAUGGCACAGGAUCAGAACGACGACGACGACGACGAUGAUACAUUUGGCAACGUUGAUCAGUACUUUGCCGAGCAUGGGUACGAUGGCGACUUCAUGGGGCCUCCUUCUCAAGAACCAAACCCAACAAAAGACGUGUGCGAUCUAGCUCGUACCGCGGAGAAGCCAAGUUGCAACAGGCACCGUCUGGCGUUCAGCUCUCAGGAGACGCCUCCAGCUGCCGACUUCACCGAGCCUCAGAUAGGCGAGGUGCGAAAUAUUAUCAGCCCCAACACACUCAAGAAGGCGGUCUGUGAGCAGAACUCGGUCCCAUUACAGGAGAAGAAGAAGGCACGCAAAAGAAAGACUAAGAAGGGUGUGAGCCAGCCGGCACCGAGUACGAUCCAUGCUCAGGACGGGCCACCUUCACCGCAGGAUAUCUCGAGGAGGGUGCAUGUGGCGGGUAGGGCGAUGCUACCACCAAAUAUGCUCAAUGCUGCAACCGGUGCUAUGCGGAGUCUGCACGACAGUGUUCUUUCUUUGGAGAAGCGGCGUCUCAGAGAGAAGGAUGUGGCAUACCCGAUUUUCGUGGCCAAGGUGCCAGAGGGCAAGGGCUUUGUGGAUGGCGACAUCGGGGGUACGAUCGUCCUGCGGUUUGAUGACAUCUUUGCUAUGUUUAACCUUCAUCCGCUGCACUACGCCUUCGUUCGGCUAUUUUCGCUGAGUAUGGAGAUGCGGAUCAUUCGCGACAAGACCCCGGACAUCGUGAUAGUCGACCCCUUCUACAUGCGUGCCAAGAUCUUGGGCAGCGCUGGGGACCGGCAAGUCGCGAGUUCUUACCUCGAAGGCGUCAUUCUGGCAAACCAAGAUAAGGAUAACUUCCUCGUGCCUUACUUUCCCGAUGACACACGUUGCACGCUCAUCCUCCUAAGCCCCAAAUAUUCCAUGGCCACGUAUUUCGACCCGGACCAUCAGUCGAACGUAGACUACACAAAUGUCAAGAAGGUUCUUGAUGAUGUUCUCCCCGGCUACGCCCAAUCUGGAGGCACCUUCACCAGGCCUAUUCGUAAGUACGGCAAGCACGUGUUCUCCCACAAUACGACAUUCUGCUGCGUCAAGCAGCCGCCUGGCGGUCAGAAGGGUGCCUACUACGCCAUCCAUCACAUGCGGGCGAUCGUACGGGACCAUCAUCAACUUCUGCUACCGAGUAAACUCCAAGAUUGGGCCGCGAGCGUGUCGGCAAUCCAGGACGCGGACCUCCGACAAGAAUUCUUUCGCAUCCAGUCGGAGUUUGCGGAAAUCAUCCAUCAAGAUGUCCUUCGUACCUCGGGGCAGUUCUACCUCAGAAAUCAACCGUCCAACAGUGACAUCGACACAAUGCUACAAAUGCAGGAUGACAACGCCCGUUCUUUCAUGACUCCCACGAUAGAUGGCGGCUUCAUCCACGCUCCGGUCCCUUGA